AUCCGCUGCUGCGCUCUCUACAGCAGUGACACCCGCCCUCCUUUCGUGUGUGUGUGUGUGUGUGUGCAUCACCUGUUUCUCGUCACUGGUGCCGUUGUGCAUUUUUUUGGGGGCGCCCGUCUCUCACUCUCUCCCUCCCUCUUCGUCGAAUCAUUCGCAUCUGAUCCCCCCGUCCGACCUCACGCCAGCCACCACCACCCCCUGUGACUAGCGAAAGCCGAUGGUGUACGCACUGCUGGAGCUGCCCGCUGGCGUGGCGCUGUUCAAAGUGGACGGCGAGAGGCGUAAGCUGAAGGCGCUGCUGCAUUUCAAGAGCACCGCCGAUGCGCUCGAGACGACGGCGCAGCUCGUGAACGGUGAGCUGUCGAAGCCGGUGCGCAAGUUCCUGAAGAAGAACUACCUGGAGAAGGAGGUGUCCGAGGAGCUGGCGGUGGCCGAUGCGAAGCUGGCCAAGGCUAUCAAGGAGAAACUCGCCAUCCCGUGUGUGUCCGGCGAAGACACGCUCCCAACCUUCCGUGCGCUUAAGCAGAACAUCGACAGCCUCCUCGAGGACGUCUCGGCGGAGCAGCUGAACCAGACGGCGCUCGGUCUGGCACACAACCUCAACCGGUACAAGCUGAAAUUCUCCCCUGAUAAGGUGGAUAUGAUGGUUGUGCAGGCGGUGUCGCUCCUCGAGGACCUUGACAAGGAGAUCAACAAGUACGCCAUGCGCGCGCGCGAGUGGUACGGCUGGCACUUCCCCGAGCUGGGCAAGACCGUGAAUGACAACGUGGCUUACUGCAAGAUCGUCCUGGCCAUGAAGACGCGCUUCAACGCCCGCGAUACGGACUUCUCCGACUUUCUCGAGGAGGAGACGGAGCAGAGAGUGAAGGAGGCGGCGAUGGUGUCAAUGGGCACGGAGAUUGCGGAGGAGGACAUCGAGAACAUCUCGAGGCUGUGCAACGAGGUCGUCGCGGCCUCGAAGUACCGCGAGCAGCUCUCCACCUACCUCUCCUCCCGCAUGCAGACCAUCGCGCCGAACCUGACAACGAUGGUGGGGGAACAGAUUGGUGCCCGACUCAUCCAGAAAGCCGGCUCGCUACUGACGCUUGCCAAGUACCCCUCCUCGACGGUGCAGAUCCUCGGCGCUGAGAAGGCCCUCUUCCGUGCCUUGAAGCAGCGCCAGGCCACCCCCAAGUACGGCAUUCUCUACAACGCCUCCGUGGUGGCCAAGGCGGCCCCGGCGCAGAAGGGCACCAUGUCCCGUGUACUCGCUGCGAAGGCGUCGCUGAGCGCCCGCAUUGACUCUUUCGGCGAGGGCGACAACACGCCUGCCCUAGAGUACCGCAGCAAGGUGGAGAACCGCCUCAAGGCUUUUGAGGAGGGCAUCACGUAUGGCAAGAGUGGCAACGCCCGCGGCGCCGGCGCCGGCUUGGAGCAGCGCGGUAGCUAUGGCGACAGCCAAGGCAACGGCUUCAAGCGCCCGCGCAUGAACACUAGCGGCUUCAACAGCGACCGCGGCGGUCGCGGCGGCGGCGGCGGCUUCAAGCGCUCGCGCCCAGAAAACGGUGGCUACUAGAGGUGAGGAAGUGAAAGGAGAGCGAAAAGCAUUGCUGCGCAUGCAACGCGAGGGAAGGUGUUUUAGCAGGUGGAAGGCUGAGGGGAGGGGGACGGGCCACGAAUGUGCCCCGCAGAUGUUCGCCUCCGGGAUGGUGGCAGCGGGUUUGUGAUCGUCCUCAAUUGUCCGGCCGCAUCUCUGCCUCCUGUCUCCCCUCUGCCCUUGCUGUGUGCGCAGACAUGCGCGUGCAUGAGCAGUGCGUGUGCGCGUGUGUGUGGGGGGGUGGGAUGGCUGAUGUUUUUCUCGUCUCCUCGCCCUCGACUGUCGUGCUCGUUGAUGUUCUCUCUGAUUCUGCGCUUCCGUCGCUGCAAUCAGUCCCCGCCUCUGUGCGUGUCUAUGCGUGUGUGUGUGUGUGUGUGUGUGUGAAGGACAGCGGUUGUGGUCGGUGCUCGUUGUGUCUCAUGAAGACGGUUGCUGGUGCUCUCUCUUCGAAUUUCUUUUUUUUUUGGCUUGGGUGUGUCGCUCUCUCCCUCGCACGUGUUCGCUGUUUGAUAAAGGUUUGAUGACGAUGAUGGCAAUGAUGGCGACGGCGGCAGUCGCCCCUCCCCACGAGCAUCGCCCUCCCCUUGUGUUCUUCCUUCUUCUCUUGUUAAACUCCGCGAUAACUUGGUAACACCUUUUUGUGCCUUCAUCGUGUUGUUCGGCGGCUGAUGCGCCGUGUGCAUGUGCGUGUGUGUGCGCCGAGGACCAAAGUCCACCCUACCCUCGCAGGUGCACAGCUGCCUUUCCCGCGCACCUGCGCACAUCACACACGUACACCGGCGCAUCCACCAUGUUGCCGAAACGACUCUCGUAACUUCCCUCUGUG
rnacentral:misc_RNA from 1 species